GACGAACGCUGGCGGCGUGCCUAAUACAUGCAAGUUGAGCGCUGAAGGUUGGUACUUGUACCAACUGGAUGAGCAGCGAACGGGUGAGUAACGCGUGGGGAAUCUGCCUUUGAGCGGGGUACAACAUUUGGAUACGACUGCUAAUACCGCAUAAAAACUUUAAACACAAGUUUCAAGUUUGAUAGAUGAGAUUGUAUGACUCAGAGAUGAUCCCGAGCUGUAUUAGCUAGGUGGUGAGGUAAAGGCGCACCAAGGCGAUGAUACAUAACCGACCUCAAAGGGUGAUCGUCCACAUUGGGACUGAGACACGGCCCAAACUCCUACGAGCGGCAGCAGUAGGGAAUCUUCGGCAAUGGACGAAAGUCUGACCGAGCAACGCCGCGUGAGUGAAGAAGGUUUUCGGAUCGUAAAACUCUGUUGGUAGAGAAGAACGUUGGUGAGAGUGGAAAGCUCAUCAAGUGACGGUAACUACCCAGAAAGGGACGGCUAACUACGUGCCAGCAGCCGCCGUAAUAC
rnacentral:rRNA from 1 species